AGCUGAGUGGUGCAGUGCCUGCCUGGCAAGCAUGAGGGCCUGAGUUCGAUUCCCAG
rnacentral:tRNA from 1 species